rnacentral:rRNA from 1 species
AUUGAACGCUGGCGGCAGGCUUAACACAUGCAAGUCGAGCGGAGAGAGGUAGCUUGCUACUGAUCUUAGCGGCGGACGGGUGAGUAAUGCGUAGGAAUCUGCCUAUUAGUGGGGGACAGCAUUUCGAAAGGAAUGCUAAUACCGAAUACGUCCUACGGGAGAAAGCAGGGGAUCUUCGGACCUUGCGCUAAUGGAUGAGUAUAGGUCGGAGUAGCUAGUUGGUGGGGUAAAGGCCUACCAAGGCGACGAUCUGUAGCGGGUCUGAGAGGAUGAUCCGCCACACGGGGACUGAGACACGGCCCAGACUCCUACGGGAGGCAGCAGUGGGGAACAUUGGACAAGGGGCGGAAGCCUGAUCCAGCCAUGCCGCGUGUGUGAAGAAGGCCUUAUGGUUGUAAAGCACUUUAAGCGAGGAGGAGGCUACUUUAGUUAAUACCUAGAGAUAGUGGACGGUACCCACAAAGGAAGCACCGGCUAACUCCGUGCCAGCCGCCGCCGUAACAC